GGGUGACUCCUUGGCGCUUGCGCGCUGUUUUGAUGAAGAUUCGCACCUCUAACAAAACGGGCAACCCCACCUCUUGGCAAGGCCUUGCUGUCAGAUCAAGUCUGAACUUCUGCACCUCAUUGCUCUUGGUACGUGAGCCAACCAAUCCGUCAUCCAGGAAGAAGGCCCGCUUUACGAUAGUCCUCAACGAGCGAAUCGUAG
rnacentral:sRNA from 1 species